ACAGGGAUUGCCUUAGUAACGGCGAGUGAAGCGGCAACAGCUCAAAUUUGAAAGCUGGCCCUUUUAGGGUCCGCAUUGUAAUUUGUAGAGGAUGAUUCGGCGAGGGCUCCUGCCUAAGUCCCCUGGAACGGGGCGUCAUAGAGGGUGAGAAUCCCGUAUGCGGUAGGUUGCCUUAGCCAUGUGAAUCUCCUUCGACGAGUCGAGUUGUUUGGGAAUGCAGCUCUAAAUGGGAGGUAAAUUUCUUCUAAAGCUAAAUACCGGCCAGAGACCGAUAGCGCACAAGUAGAGUGAUCGAAAGAUGAAAAGCACUUUGGAAAGAGAGUUAAAAAGUACGUGAAAUUGUUGAAAGGGAAGCGCUUGCAACCAGACUUGUCCGCAGUUGCUCAGCCGGUCUCCUGACCGGCGUACUCUUCUGCGGCCAGGCCAGCAUCAGUUCGGGCGGUCGGAUAAAGGCCUCGGGAAUGUGGCUCCUCUCGGGGAGUGUUAUAGCCCGGGGUGCAAUGCGGCCAGCCUGGACUGAGGAACUCGCUUCGGCAAGGAUGCUGGCGUAAUGGUUGUAAGCGGCCCGUCUUGAAACACGGACCAAGGAGUCUAACAUCUAUGCGAGUGUUCGGGUGUCAAACCCGUACGCGUAAUGAAAGUGAACGGAGGUGGGAACCCGCAAGGGUGCACCAUCGGCCGAUCCUGAUGUCUUCGGAUGGAUUUGAGCAAGAGCAUAGCUGUUGGGACCCGAAAGAUGGUGAACUAUGCCUGAAUAGGGUGAAGCCAGAGGAAACUCUGGUGGAGGCUCGCAGCGGUUCUGACGUGCAAAUCGAUCGUC
rnacentral:rRNA from 1 species